AUAAGACGAAAAGACUGUGGUCCCUGCCACAUAAGAAGGAUCUUUGGUAUAAGAAAUCGCUCGUGUUUACACAGCUGUGGAUGCCGUGAAGGAACCAUGGACAUUCUUGGUGGGUGAAGCCCUAGACGGUGGAAUCCUACCAAGCUGGCCAUCGGCUUCGAUCCACAUGCUAUCAAGUAAUUACAGAGGCAAUUAACACUCACUGUUCCUGCCUCCGCUGGGAUAAUUUCCUUCUGUAGUAAACAGAUAUUGGGCAGAGGGGGUGGGGGGGGAUAUUUUUUCUUAAUAACCUUCCAGGUCCAGAACCAUCUCUGUUAUAGAGGGUGCCAAAGCCUGAGCUAAACUGUAUUUUAACUGGAGAAGAAACCGAAAUCUAUUCUAAGAGCUGGGGUUCUAUACUCCCGUAGGCCCUAUACCGAACAACACGAUUCACUUAAAUGCAAAGUAGUCGGGUAUUAGGAAAUGUAAAAGGAGCCAGCAAGAUGGCUCAGUGAGUUGAGGUCACCAAUCCUGACAUCCUGAGUUCAAUCCCUGGAACCCACCUGACAGGAGAGAACUGACUUCUACAAGUUGUCCUCUGAUAUAACAAUUUUACUAAAAAAAAUAUAAUAAUAAUUAAAAAUAUGAAAAGAGGACUUCAUUCUGAUCAUUUCUAAGUCAAGAGCAGAGAAGACCUAUUAAAAUAACCCUCCAGGGAAUACGUGAAAGGCAAGCCAUUGUGAAUGACACUUCGGUUCAUUGGCCCGAGAUAAUUUCAGGGUUUAACAGUGGUUACUGUUACUGGAGAUGGGCGAGCUGGCCUGUUAGAGAGUAAAGAUAGAGUAGUUUCCUGUCCCUCUGGUUUGUGACGUUCCACUUGUUGCCCGAAAUGCCCGAUGCCUCGUCUCCAGACCCCGCUGGCCAUGGCAGGUCAUUCUCCGAUCUCCCUACUGCAGCUGGUGCUGUUCCCCUCUGUGCUGUGGAGAUGACAUCAUCCAUCUCCCUGCAAACAGUAAUGGUGGAUCUUUUACCUUGAGGCUGCGUGCGGAGUGGGUCCCAGAACUCUGACUUUACCAUGGAAGGACUUUGAGCAUCCUGUGGCUCUCUUAUGUCCCUGCCCCUUUGACUCCUUGGUGGACCUGGGAUUAGACAGUCUGCUGACUCCAGAACAGGUCGUGGUAGGCGUUAGUCUAUCCUAGGUGCCCUCCUGUGCUGUCCUGGUCUGUCUGAAACACACAUCUCUACUUUUCUGUGGCCAGUCCUCUGACAGUUCACAAGAACCAGACACGUGUACUUUUAUUUUUGUUUCCAGGACUGAUGUAGCUUAGUGGCAAGCGUUUGCCUAGCUGUAGAUUCAAUCCCUGUUGCUGGGGCCCGGGGAGGGGGUGGAUAAGAAAUAGAAAAUUUCUCUUUCCGAGGACCUUUAGCAAGAGACAGGAAAUCCUGACAUUCAUGUUGGAAAUUAUAUAAACCAACAUGACAAGAACCGUUUCCCCCCAAAAGGCUCAGCAGCCGACUCUUGGGAGUGAGAUACAAAAUCUUUUAACCACUUUUGAAUCUCACUUGGCCUGUGGCUCUUGGUCUUGCUAGAUUCCAGUUUGUUCUGAGAGUCAGGCUCUCACGUACAGCAGCUUCUAACCUGUUCUCUAUU
rnacentral:lncRNA from 1 species